UCAUUCAUUAAACCAGAAACUUGCCUCCACAUACCUGGCGGUUUUAGUGUCCCAUUUAUUUAUCCAUGACAGGUCUAAACCAGC